GGGUCUACAGUGUAGAGACACUGGGGUAAAGAUGUAGGUGGUUGUUAGAGAACAACUUGCACUGAGUAUGACCAACAUGAGAACCAUAUAGAUGUCUACUCACUCAUCAGUAUUCUUUUCGAUGCUAGAGUGGUUCUCUGAUCUGUGGUGAUAUUGGCUAUUCACAGUGAGGCUACUGAGUUUGACUGCAUAUUUUUUUGGUCUCUAGCCAUUCAGGUCCUUGCUGUGUAUGCUGGCUUCAGUAGGUUCAGGUUCACUGUUUGGAGUA
rnacentral:lncRNA from 1 species